UUAACUCGAAUUUGUAUCGAGUUGAAACGUUUCCCCUACGCUUGCCGUUAUGGGCGCUGUUCAAACUGCAUACAAAUGUGAGUUA
rnacentral:pre_miRNA from 1 species